GGACGCGCGUGGAGGACGCGCGCCAUCCCCCCCGACGUGGUAUUCGGCGCGCGUCGUCGCCGGUCCUCUAGCCACGCCGCUCCUCCUCCCACGGCACUGUCAUGUCUCGUUAUUGCACACACCUGGUGUCCAUUCCCUCAUUAGGUUGCCUAUAUUAGUUCCUGUGUUUCUGGGUGUCUUUGUGUGGUAUUGUUCUAUGUCUUUAUAUUGUGGAGAGAGGCACGUUCGUUGAGCGUUUUAUCGCCGUGUAUAGCGUGCCUUUGUUGUAUUAUUAUUAUUUUUGAGAAUACAGUUUUGUUUAUCGCCUCCCUGCGUUUGGCUCCAAGUUCUUCGACACACUCCACUACACCCAGCCGUGACAGAACACCUGGAUUUUGGCUGGAUUGUUCCUUAGAGAUCCUCUCGAGCGUUGUCAAAUAGGAUGGGGAGCGUCGGUGAAACGCAAUCUUAAAGUCUACUCACAUGUUCAAUGGGUUUCAAAUCCAGGAUUUGCCUGGGCCCUCAAAGAUCUUCACAGACAAGCUACACCAUAGGGAUGGUAUUAGCCAGGUGAUGAGCUUUACCUCUUUUUCAACAGCCAAUGCCCUUGGCAUUUAUUAAAAGUCAGAGGUUUGCAGAAAUUACAACUUAUAGCUUUCUACUUGACAAGUAGGAUACAUCACUUCAUUUAGCUAGUUGGCUAGAUAGACAAGGAAAUCUGUGUGUAGGUUACUAGAUAGUAUAAUUGUUUCUCUGUCAUCAUCUAUGUAGAUAAUAAUUCAAUAUUCUUGUUUAUUCUAUUUGUAUGAGCGCAUAUCCAUUUUGGAAGGUUUCUCUAAAGUCUACGACCGAGACAAUAAGCUAAGUUGUGUCCGAGCAGACGAUGAGCCCACGUUAGCUAGCAUUAUGUCUGAGCAGACACGCUUUAUUCCAUUUCCUCCUGGAAAAUAGUGUUACAACCUGGUGUUCUCUGCAAAAUGUUAAGAAAAACAAACAUGUAUUGUGGUUGUUUGACUAAACCUUUUGCAUAUUAAGCGAAUCGAAGAAGCAAUUAUAUUACCUUUUAGUUUGAUUUAGCCGUGUGAAAACUGGUCAAAGUAAGCACAUUAUUUUUCCAGCUAACGGUAGCUAGCACGAUUAUGGUUUCAUAUUUGCUAGAUAGCCAUCAACGAAUCUCUGAAAUAUGACAAUGCAUCUUACGCAAUAGAUAGCCCAGAUGGCGUUUUGAUUGGUUUAGCUGUUCACACUGUGUUCCGUAGUUAUGGAAUGGGCUCAUCAACAUUUAGCCCAUUUAAAACAAAAGUUUGUUUUCAUUGUUCCAGCAUCGACGGUUGGAGGUGACACUGCUUCAUACCGUUCUUCAUUUUUGACAGACAAGAAGAGGAGACAGAAAAGAAGUGUGAGUUGGACCAGCAGAAGCAAGAAUUCAACCCCUGACUUCUGGAGCAGUAUGACUGGUGCAUAUCAUUGGACAUGCAUCAGAAAUGUUCACACACAGCAGAACAGUAAUAAGGAUUCUCUUCUGAAUUCAAAUCCACAUGUAAUGAAUAUAUAUGAUUGCAAGUUGUUUACUAUAUUUUUUAACCUCAUAUUGCCCCCGA
ensembl:lncRNA